rnacentral:rRNA from 1 species
CGCGUAGGCGGUUCGUUAAGUCAGAUGUGAAAGCCCCGGGCUCAACCUGGGAAUUGCAUUUGAAACUGGCAAGCUAGAGUGCAGUAGAGGGAGGUGGAAUUUCCGGUGUAGCGGUGAAAUGCGUAGAGAUCGGAAGGAACACCAGUGGCGAAGGCGGCCUCCUGGACUGACACUGACGCUGAGGUGCGAAAGCGUGGGGAGCAAACA